rnacentral:rRNA from 1 species
GAGGGCGCAUAAAAAAAGUAGUCGCGCGAAAUAAAAAACCGCCGGAUACGGUAUAAAACCACGUCCGGGUGAUACGUCACUCUUCCCGUCUUUCUCCACCGACAGGCGUAAACUAGAAGAAGAGGGAGAGAGGGCUUCUACUCGCGGCGCGGCGGCGGGUUGGGAGAGGGAGGAGGGAAGGGUCUAGACGCCAGGUUGUGCGGGGCGGAGGAGAGGGGGACAGCUAGGCAUCGGAUUGGUGGUAGCGACGCGGCUGGCACCACUGGUGCGGCACGGCAGGUAUCAGGGUCGUGGCGCGGCGGCCAGGUCUAGCGACCCAACGCUGCCAGGACACUGGAGCGUAGCACCACUGGCGCAACGGGGGACAGCUAAACUACCUGUGACCUGGAAGGCAGCAGAAUGGGACAGGUUCUGGUUUGAGCAGAAGAGUAGACUUCGGCUAGAUCUAGAACGAGAGACUGGCCAAGGGUCCGCCCGCAGGGAGAUGAAGUACAGGAACGUGAAGCUGCCCACGGGUCCACGCACAGGGACAAGAAGAUGAGGCUGCCGGUCGAUGGGUCUUCAAGGGGACGAAGGAGAAGCUAACCGUCGGUUUGCCGUGUGUUGACGCUCGUACCAUCGCACACUUCCAUAGGGAGAGGGAUAUCUAAACAACUUAUCAAAUAUUCUGAUAAAUCCUACUUGGCUACAACUUUAGACACACGAUAUCCGAUAUCAAAUUACUCUACGAUCAACUACUCAUUGUUAUACUAAACUCCGAUUGUGAAAAAAACAAAGACUUGUAGACUAAAUCAUGCUCCAGCUAUUAACUAUCCAUGUUCUGUUAGAAACGUUCUGUAGUCCGAAACGAGGUCGAUAACUAUAGGUAAAAGACCACUUUUCUUUACAGAUUCUACCAUUAAUCAUAGGUUCCAAUACAAAACCCCUUGUUAAACAAUAGCUUUUGUAGAGACGAUUUAAACACUAGUACACGUCGUGUAAACUAAAGCAUGUUUUAUGUCCAGUACCCUAAUACUUUCAAGAUAGCCUGUUUGGUUACGAGCACGCUAUAUCAACAUAAUGACAAAUGUCUACACUAGCAGGGCCAACAUCUGAAUUGUACUAAAAUUUAUCGAUUUGAUUUCAUCGAUCGAGCCAUACGUGUACAUCAAUCCUUUGACUGAUCGAUAGAAUGUCCACAAGGGAUAUGUAAAUUACACGAGGCAAUCGAUGAUUGACCAAGGUCGACUAAAUGAAGUAAAACAUGUGUUGUUUAUGAUAGAAUAAUAUCUAUUUAGCGUUUUGUUUACUAUUACGUUAUAAACGGGUGGGGGAAGAAUAUAUCGACUAACCAAGUGUCUCUAUUGUUAGAACAGCAGUGUAGACGGGACUUCUUGACUCUUCACAGUACCUUGAAUGUAUAAAGAAAAAAUAUCUUGACAACAAACGAGAUAUUUAUGGUGUAAUAGAACGUUAAGAAUGUCUCUUAGCAUGAAACGAAAUAUUUAUGUUGUAUCAGAACGUUCGUCAGUUAAAUUGUAGUAAGACAACGAUACGAGAACUUCGUGAACUUGGGCGAACCUAGUGCCGUUCUGUCUAUCUUCGUCAUGCUUCUCGUUAUUGUGCUAUACGUGCAGCACCACCUUUUUAUACCCUUGUAUAAGAAUGCCCACCAGUACCAAACGACCAACUACCCGUGUUUGUUCAUUAACUCCGAGAGCGACUUCCAGAAUUAGUCUCAACAUCUAUAACAUCUAUGAACCGGACUGGUUGAGUUCCAGAACUGUGGGGAGAAUUAGUCUCCACAUUUAUGAAACGGAAUGAUCUCAUCGUCUAUUAACAGGACUGGUUGUUGUGUACAUGUACGACUGAAUCCACAAGACGAUCGACAUGCUUUGUAAUCGAUACAAAUGAAGAACUUAAGACCGAACUUUAACUGGUACUCAGACAUUAACUUGUUCUUAGACUACACAUGUAACUUAAAAUCGUAGUUAAAUAUUAAAACUUAAUACCGGGUCUUAAAUUA